CCUACGGGGGGCAGCAGUGAGGAAUAUUGGUCAAUGGGCGCGAGCCUGAACCAGCCAAGUAGCGUGAAGGAUGACGGCCCUACGGGUUGUAAACUUCUGUUAUAAAGGAAUAAAGUGAGGCACGUGUGCCUUGUUGUAUGUACUUUAUGAAUAAGGAUCGGCUAACGCCGUGCCAGCAGCCGCGGUAAUACGGAGGAUCCGAGCGUUCUCCGGAGUUAUUGGGUUUAAAGGGAGCGUAGAUGGGUUGUUAAGUCAGUUGUGAAAGUUUGCGGCUCAACCGUAAAAUUGCAAUUGAUACUGGCAGUCUUGAGUACAGUUGUGUUCGGCGGCAUUCGUGGUGUAGCGG
rnacentral:rRNA from 1 species